AUUGAACGCUGGCGGCAUGCCUUACACAUGCAAGUCGAACGGCAGCACGGGGCAACCUGGUGGCGAGUGGCGAACGGGUGAGUAAUGCAUCGGAACGUGCCAUUGAGUGGGGGAUAACGUAGCGAAAGUUGCGCUAAUACCGCAUAUUCUGUGAGCAGGAAAGCAGGGGACCGCAAGGCCUUGCGCUCUUUGAGCGGCCGAUGUCAGAUUAGCUAGUUGGUGAGGUAACGGCUUACCAAGGCGACGAUCUGUAGCGGGUCUGAGAGGAUGAUCCGCCACACUGGAACUGAGACACGGUCCAGACUCCUACGGGAGGCAGCAGUGGGAAUUUUGGACAAUGGGCGCAAGCCUGAUCCAGCCAUGCCGCGUGAGUGAAGAAGG
rnacentral:rRNA from 1 species